CAUCACUACAGUGGUGUACGCAACAUCAUCAGAGUGAACUUCACGCAGGAUCUGAAACAGCAAGGAAGGAAGAAGAGGUUUCAUUUGUGACACCAGCCUGCUGUCAUCAGGACUCCACACAAUGGAACGCACCUGCGGACCGAGUUCACCUUUCAGGCAAGCAAACAAACCCUUUGGAAUCUCCUGUUUCUACCAAAUAGACACACUGCACCUGGCCCAGCGGAGCACGCAAACCCUUUGGAAUAGGCGACGAUAGCGGAGA